rfam:Schizosaccharomyces pombe chromosome I, complete replicon
GCUCUUGUAGCUCAGUGGUAGAGCGCCUGUCUCGUAAACAGGAGGUCCAGUGUUCGAGUCACUGCCGGAGCA